AAGCCAGCCACCAUUGCUGAUGGGCGGAAGAACUACUGGUGGCUGAGAGCCCAGGCAAGUCUGGGAAAGGAAGGUGAGCUGACAGGGUCUCGCUCUGUGAACCAGGCUGGAGUGCAGUGGCAUGAUCACAGCUCACUACAGCCCCAACUCCUGGGUUCAAGCAAACCUCCUGCCUCAGCCUCCCAAAAGAGGAAUCACUUCUGGACCGGAGGAUGUCUCCCUGCCUUUGCCCUCCCCGCCUCCCCCCACAUCCUUCUCUGGAAAGGGGAAUGAGGAUGAGAAUGACCUCCAUCCGCAAGACGAG